CAAUAGCGUAUAUUUAAGUUGCUGCAGUUAAAAAGCUCGUAGUUGGAUUUCGGGUGGGAAUGGCCGGACCGCCGUUUCGGUGUGCACUUGCUACGCCCACCUUGCUGCCGGGGACGUGCUCUUGAGUUCACGCUCGGGACACGGAGUCGGCGAGGUUACUUUGAGUAAAUAAGAGUGUUCAAAGCAGGCCUACGCUCUGAAUACAUUAGCAUGGAAUAACACGAUAGGACUCUGGCCUAUCAUGUUGGUCUGUAGGACCGGAGUAAUGAUUAAGAGGGACAGUCGGGGGCAUUCGUAUUUCAUUGUCAGAGGUGAAAUUCUUGGAUUUAUGAAAGACGAACUACUGCGAAAGCAUUUGCCAAGGAUGUUUUCAUUAA
rnacentral:rRNA from 1 species